GAUGAAGAACGUAGCGAAAUGCGAUAAGUAGUGUGAAUUGCAGAAUUCAGUGAAUCAUCGAAUCUUUGAACGCACAUUGCGCCCUUUGGUAUUCCAAAGGGCAUGCCUGUUCGAGCGUCAUUUGUACCCUCAAGCUUUGCUUGGUGUUGGGCGUCUUGUCUCUAGCUUUGCUGGAGACUCGCCUUAAAGUAAUUGGCAGCCGGCCUACUGGUUUCGGAGCGCAGCACAAAUCGCACUCUCUAUCAGCAAAGGUCUAGCAUCCAUUAAGCCUUUUUUUCAACUUUUGACCUCGGAUCAGGUAGGGAUACCCGCUGAACUUAAGCAUAUCAAUAAGCGGAGGA
rnacentral:misc_RNA from 1 species